AUCCAGCUGACGAGUCCCAAAUAGGACGAAGUGACGCGCACACUGGAU
rnacentral:hammerhead_ribozyme from 1 species